AUACUUACCUGGCAGGGGAGAUAUCAUGAUGACAAAGGGGAUUUUUCCAGGGCGAGGCUUCUCCUUUGCACUCCGGAUGUGCUGACUCCUGCAAUUUCCCCAAAUGUGGGAAACUCAAGUAAACAAUUUGUGGUAGUGGGGAACUGCGUUUGCACUCUUCCCUG
ensembl:snRNA U1 U1 spliceosomal RNA